UUUCGUUGAGCUGGAAAGGAACGAUGCUGUCGGCGACCGCCACCCAUCUCCUCCGAUCACCACCACCGAAUCCUCCCUCCCGUUCUCUACCCCAUCUUCGCCCUCCGUCAUUGCUUCGAUCUCCCUCCGCGGCGGGUCCUAAUGGUGUCGGCGCUGUCGGCUCUUACAAAACUCCCAAGCCUCAGCGGGAUUUGCUGCGUGAAUGGGUCUGGGAAAAUGAUGGUUUUGUUCGGGUCCUCCCUAUCUACGUUGGUGGAUUCUCCUUGCUCGUUGUCCUUCUCAAUCGCUCUUUUUCCAACAUUCCACCCGUCGCUGAUGCUUCCAGUUCACAGUCAAGGGCAGACAUUUUAUCCCUUGCUUUGGCAGUAACUAAUAUUCUGGCUGGCCUAGUAUGGUUGUCAAUUCGACCAAAGAAUAUUUCUCCGGUUGUUCUUCAUGGUGUAGAAUGUCGGCGGUUAAAUCCUCUAAUUUCCGAACGUGCAGUUCUUGAAAUGCUAUGGGCCUGGGACUCUCUUUCUGCUGUGACCUGUUGCAGAUCUUUAGUUGUUGUGUAUGAUAGCAAUUGUGUUCUUCAAAUUGGUGUUGCAGCUGAAUCCCCCUUAGAAGAUGGUGAUGCAAUGGAUGUUGAUGUGAAAAAACUACUUCAGGGUUCACUUUGCAAAAGUGCCAUGGAAACCCAAAAGCAAAGCUACCUGGCAAAUCUCUCUCUGUAUCCUGGAAAAUCUGAGCUCCCUUUUUUGCCUACAAAUACACAGUCGGUUAUCUUGCAGCCGAUUGGGGACAAUGGAGUUGCAAUAAUUGGUGGCAAUACUAUAAGGGGAUUCAACAAUACUGAUCAGGCGUGGAUCACAUUAAUCGCUGAGAAGCUGGAGGCUACACUAUCAACUUCUUGAGAUAUCCUUGCAUAUUCCAUUCUUUGCAUUCCGCUUCACUUCGCCAUUGUUCACUCAUCUUUCUUCAAGAAGCUAUGGUUAAAAAAUAGGUUUGUGACUGUAGCAACAAUAUUUUUAUUGUUGUAAAACCUUGGGCUUGCCCAUGGUUUUGUGAGUGGGUUGAUAAGUGUUUUGUCAAUUAUUGUAACCAUGGUUAAUUUAGUUAACCUUGGGUUUAGUUACUUAAGGGUCAAGUUUGUGGAGCCUAUAUAAAGCCCCUUAGUUUGUAAGGUGGAGACAUCCAUCCAUACCCCUAACACACUUAUCUCAUCCAUUCUUUGUAUCUACCAUUACCAUUAUGAAAUAAAGAAGUCCCUUCUUUUGUGAAUAUACCUCUCUCUCUGUACUCUUUACUCUUAAGAGCUUCUGUCCUUAUAACCUUUACUUCACUUGGAUGAGCCACACCCAAGUAAAUUGAAAGGCAUCCCCAACGAUCUCAUCUCUCCGUUCCCGUGAGAUUCUAUUGGUAUCAGAGCUAGGGUUUUUUCUUCAACAACGACAACAAAGUAAUAUUUAUCAUGCCGGGGUAAACCCUUAACGGGGUCCCCAACAUGUAGAUAGUAAGUUUUAUCUUGGUAUUAUAGCUUUUAUUGAUUCAUGAAUUUUUAUUAAAAACCCCAAAAAUACGGUUUGUUUUCAAUGAUCUUAGAAGUGGGCUGAAAAGCACAUUUAAUAGUCUUCGUGUAAUUAGAGGUAGCCUACAAUAUAGCAGUAAUCUUGCCUUAGUUUUGACUUCCUUAUUUUAAAACAUAUAUUGAAAGAACAUCUUCUAUUUUGAGUAAUCAUCCAAAUGAAAUGCCUAAGAUUUGAAAAGUGGGGACUCUACAAGGAUCGCUUCAAUACAAAUGUGGAAAGGGUCAGUAGGUCCUAAGACGGUAAGCUUGAAAAAUAUGCAAGGGUAUGUUCAUGAUGAAAAAUUUAGAAGGUUCUUUGAAUAAAUUUUAAAGAAGGAAAGUUAAAAUUUUUAAUUUGAAAAAAAAAAGUGUAACUAAAAGUGAAUCUUUUAUAUGAAAAAAGUUAAUCUAACUGGUAUAAGAAGUAAGACAAAUUGGACAGCCUUAAACAGUACCCAUCAGAGGACAGGAGAUCUGUUUAGGGGAAAACGAGUGUGGAGGUAAGUCUUAACUCUAAAAGUUGGAAAGAUUAUACUUUCACAUUUUAAGAUAUACUCAUGAUGCUUGGUCACUAAGACAGCUUGACUAUAGGUUUUCAACUGUAGCAACAGUAGUUUUGCUGUUGAAUAUCAUGCUUGUAAUAAGUAGGUUUGGUAAGUGUCUUGUUAGCAAUAGGUAAAUUUGGUAUAUGUCAUGUCUUCUACAUGAAGGUUUGGUAUGUGUCAAGUCAUGAAUAGCAUGACUUAAGGGUUAAGUCUUGGAGCCUAUAUAAGGCCCCUUAGUUUGUAAGAUGAGGGCAUCUCAUCCACCCUUAUCCAUCUUGGGAUCCUUGCAUCCUUAGUCUCAUCCUUUGUAUCCCUCUCACAACAAUAAUGCAAUAAAGAAGUCCCUCUUUGUUUAUACAUCUCUCUCCCCUUUAUAUUUAUGUUUAUGCUUCCUUCUCUCUAACUCU